rnacentral:rRNA from 1 species
UUACGUCAUACAAGCUCGAACGCACAGCGAAGGUGCUCCGCACCUUUCAAGUGAGUGGCGAACGGGUGAGUAACACGUGGACAACCUGCCUCAAGGCUGGGGAUAACAUUUGGAAACAGAUGCUAAUACCGAAUAAAACUUAGUGUCGCAUGACACAAAGUUAAAAGGCGCUUCGGCGUCACCUAGAGAUGGAUCCGCGGUGCAUUAGUUAGUUGGUGGGGUAAAGGCCUACCAAGACAAUGAUGCAUAGCCGAGUUGAGAGACUGAUCGGCCACAUUGGGACUGAGACACGGCCCAAACUCCUACGGGAGGCUGCAGUAGGGAAUCUUCCACAAUGGGCGAAAGCCUGAUGGAGCAACGCCGCGUGUGUGAUGAAGGCUUUCGGGUCGUAAAGCACUGUUGUAUGGGAAGAACAGCUAGAAUAGGAAAUGAUUUUAGUUUGACGGUACCAUACCAGAAAGGGACGGCUAAAUACGUGCCAGCAGCCGCGGUAAUACGUAUGUCCCGAGCGUUAUCCGGAUUUAUUGGGCGUAAAGCGAGCGCAGACGGUUUAUUAAGUCUGAUGUGAAAGCCCGGAGCUCAACUCCGGAAUGGCAUUGGAAACUGGUUAACUUGAGUGCAGUAGAGGUAAGUGGAAACUCCAUGUGUAGCGGUGGAAUGCGUAGAUAUAUGGAAGAACACCAGUGGCCGAAGGCGGCUUACUUGACUGCAACUGACGUUGAGGCUCGAAAGUG